GACCAGGCUGGAUGAAGCCCUGAGCAGCCUGAUGUAGUGGGUGGCAUCCAUGCCCAUGGCAGAGGGAUUGCAACUAGAUGAUCUUUAAGGUCCCUUCCAACCCAAACUAUUCUGUGUUUCUAAUGAACACUAGUAGCUUCUUUUGGAGUAGACAGCAGGUGGUGCAACUACUUCAUGUAAAGCUUCUGAACCAGCAAUUCUCAGCCAGGCUGGCAUAGCAAGCGAUCCUGUGCAUCAGCGGGAUGUUGUCUGGAGCUAAGAAUGGCUUGGUCUGUUCCUAGCCAAAUUUUCCAAUAGCUAGGAGUCAUGAUGCUUCCAGCAGGAUUCGGCCUGUUUGCCCUACUGAUAUGUGUAAGCCCCGUCGCUUUUGGUGAAGCACUGAAUGCUGCUUGUACUUGAUCUGAAGCAGUUAUUCUUUCUGUGUGUGAUCUCUGUUUGGCAAUGCUGCAACUGCUCUUUGCAUUUCACUUUUCACUCUCCUAGAACUGAACCUUAGACUUCUGCUGUGCAGCUCUUAGGCUGGGAUUUCUGGUCCCUGUAAAUCCAAGGUAAAGGAGAAAUUUGUUCACAGGUGAGGAUUUGCACCUUAUAUGGUGCUGGAAGAUGAAAUGUCAUAGUGCAAAUGCUGCUGCUUGGGAACUGUAAAGCACUGUAGCCUGUUGGUUCUGGUAUUGUUUCUUCUUUAAGGUGAAGGGGAUGCCCUAGAACCUAGUGUCCCAACACUUAGUGUUUCUAUCUAGACACAGCUUUUUGGUGACAGAUACAACACUGUGUCACCACUUGUUUCUGGUGGGGAUUGGUAGGUAUCUAUGGUGCUGGAGUAGGCUGCCCAGGAAGGUUGUGGAGUCUCCUUCUCUGGAGAUACUCACGGCCUGUCUGGACACCUACCUGGGCAACCUGCUCUAGGGAAUCUGCUUUGGCAGGGGGGUUGGACACGAUGAUCUCUUGAGGUCCCUUCCAGCCCCUAUAGUUCUGUGAUUCUGUGAUCUAUUUUCUUGUUCAGUAAAAUGUUGUUCUUUUUGGAGAUAAAGGUAAGAGAAAUACAAAAGUAGGAAUGUGAAAGUGUCUACUGCUUCAUGAUUUUGUCACAGUAUAUGGUAUGGAUAGUCAGUUCAGUUUGCUUGUGAAACUGACUGAGCAUCAUUUGUCUGUUCUGGAAAUAAUCCUAUUCUAGUUUUCUAGUUUCUUCUAGUAUACAGGUAGGAAUGGCAGAGGAUCUUUGUCCUAUUCCUGCCCAGGAAGAUAAAAACCCCUUGUGAGUUGCUUGAUGAUAAUUAACUAUUAACUACUCCUUUGGAUUUAUUGGAGGAAGAUUUUUUUCCUCAGCCUAAUAAAUACAUAUCGGGAUCCUGUGGUGCAGGGACAUGCAUGGUAGGUCGUAUUCUAAAAGUGUGUGACACAGCAAGGAGGCCUUAAUCCAGCUCAUGCUGAAAUACUUUUGCUGUUUAUCUGGGUCUGCAGUGCGAUGGAUGGAAAGGGUUUUUCCAUUCUAUGAGUGGCUGGGAAUUGCUGAAGGUGCUCCUGCAAGGAUUCUUGCCUGAGACUAAUCCACAAGAUUACCUCUAGUUCUGGGAAAGCACUGCUGUUUUGAAGUCUUUAAAUGAUGUUUCCCUGUGCAGUUCUCUCAGCAGGACAGGAAUCUCAUUGGGGUAGAGUUGACUAUGCCAUGACUGCUGGGGUGCAGAAUAGGCAAAAUUCUUCUUGUUUGUUUAAUUUGCCUUUCUACUGCUUUAAAAGUUCUUUUUUGUCUAUUUUAUGCUAGAGUGACUCCUACCAUUCAGAUGAAAUGUCACAUUGAUUUGAUUACACUGUUUGGAAUAGCAUGCUUGGAACUCAUUUGAGGCAUGAAAAAACUUGUGUGAUAACUCAUCAGAUAGAGAAGGCACAAGCACCUGAGUGGGCAUAAUUUCUUCUUGAGCCCUGAUAGCUUUGGGGGGCUGUGCUAAGAGUCUUCAAGUCAGCUUGCAUGUGAUUUAAAGAACAGAGGUUAAUUGCCUAAGGUUCUGCUUGAACAGCUAUAUCAAGAGCUGUAUGACAAGCAGAGGUCCAUCUGUGUACUAGCCUCGAGUCAACGCUGUGUGAGGUUGAAGGCUCAUUGGCCAGCUCCAGCAUCCUAUAAGAGGUGAGAAUGGACAGUGUUGGCCCUUCAGGACCUUAUUCCACAAGUGACCAUAACAAAAAUGCCAACAAACCCACAUGCCUAGCAGGAAUGCUAAAUAGGUGUGCCUAGCUAAAUAGUAAAGACAUGGUCCUGCCCUUUGAGGAGAGGAACUUCUUAGAGUCUGGUCUGGAACCAUGCAACUUGACCAUUUUUGGGGUGUCUACUGAGGCCUCUUUGUCCAGCUAGGACUUCUUUUAGCAUCUGCACAUCAGUGUGUUUGGGCAGCAGUCCUGGAAUUUACUUUCUCUUGCCUGGAAUACUCCCACUGAGACCUGUGUGCAUCUACCUUCGUGAUGCUGUCAUGCAUUCCCAUCUGUGUGUGCAGGGGUAGCUGUAGAUCUGUAAAAUAUCAGUGAAAAAACACCUUCUUUGCUAGAGUUUUAGAGUUCCAGCAUAGAGAUUUGGAUUUAAAUACAGUGUAAUGUUGAAUAUAAAUGUUAGUACUGCAGGUGCCUCAAUGGGGUUACCAAACAACAAGUUCUGAGAACCGCUGCUUAAGUCUCUUAGUCUGCCUGCCAUUAACUGACCAAACAGAUGGGUCUUUUGCACUCUAAACUGUUGUUGAGUGCUUGGUGUUGCCUGGGAAACAGAGAAGGAACAUGAGUGGAUCCUAUUGUUUGUGGGUUUAUCUUGCUUUUGUAACAGCUUCUGGGGAGAGCCUCAACUUUGCAAGGGAGGCAGCGCAGCUUGUAUUUUCCCUCUUCCUCACUCCCCACGCUUCCUGUGGCAGCAUUGCUGUUCUUUGUCCCAGAUUUGUUUGCUUUGCUUUUGUUCACCCAAAUCCACUGUGUCCAUCUGUUCUGCGUCACUCUUUCAGUAAUGGCAGGAGCACUGUGAUGGUGGGUUUGGGCAAAUCCUGUGAUUUGUGGUGAGUGGAACAGUGACCUGAGACCAGUUCUCCCUCAUAAAUUUUGAGGCUCUGGAUAAAGGAGAUAAAGAGAUAACAAAAUGGGGAAGCACUAUUGGCACUUAUAGGAAGUGGACAAAGAAUGAAUGACUCAAAACGGUGUGGCACGGCUGUCUUGUUGGCCAGAGGUGUCUUUUUUCAGUUCUCUUUGCCUAUCCAUUGCACUUCAGAGCCUUCCAGAAGCACUUGCAAUUUAGAAAAGUAUUAAGUUAGGGAUGGAAUCACACUCUGCUUUUUCUUUCACCUCUGACUGCUGUGUCUGCAAGACUUCCCUGUACUCCAGAGCUUCGACAGGCUUCAGCAAUGCUGGCUCUUAGCUCUCCUGGUUGGACAUCACAGGGUGCUGGGCAGAACACCCUCUUCUUGACUGCUUUAGUACUCUCAGCUAGAGAUGUUCUGGGAAGUGGAAGCACUGGUUGCAUGGAGAGCCCCAGAAGAGCCUUUUUAAACCCACAGUGGAACUGGUAGGGAUGCUCCCAUGUUUGAAGUGCCUCGUGCUCUCCUGAGUGCCUCUUUCCUGGGACUCUUGACUACCUGUGAGUCUGAGAACAUAUCUUGGUGCUCCAUCUCUGCUCUCAGAGCAAAGCUCCGUUGCUUGCAGUUAGAUGUACCUGAUUUUGCAGACUUGGCUAGUACAAGCAGUGCAUUGUGAGUGUAGGAGAUCAAUGAACAAAGUUAUAAUGUGGACACAGACUUUGGCAGGGGUCCAUGCAGGGACUGGCAAGAAGGAUAGGGCAGGAGCUUUGUGAUUCUCUAGGAACAUGUCAGUGUUCCUGUCUAGACAGCUCUGCCGGGGCAUGGUGUGAGGCUCCUUUCUCACUGUGAAUACUCUUGUUCCUCCCCAGUAGCCUCAGGAUGAGGCAAUGGGACUUAGUGAGGGAACAGAAGCUACCUCCUUGGGUAAAAUGCUAGAAUAGGUCUAUAAAGGAAGUUGACAGACCUCAUCUUUGCUUUUGCUGAAAUUGUAGCCCUUCCUUCAGGGUGAGUUACUCUGUACCUGGAUGUGGUCUCGCUCAGGAGCAGGGCUGCAGGCUGGUCGUGAAUGGGAAUGUGGCAGAGCUUUGGGGGGAGCUCAGGAGGCGCUGUGUGCUGGUGUAGGGUAGUGCAACAGUGUCUAAGAGCCUUGCAUGUCUGUUAACAAUGUCCUUCUUUCUUGAGUAGGCAUUGAAAUUGAAUGAGAUGGAAAAAGAAUCCCUGCCCACCUUUUUCACCUCUAAGGAGAAAAACCCUAGCGUGCACCAAAAAUGCCAGAAAUAGAAAAGGAGGCAAGUACAGCAACACAGAUACAGUGACAUCUUCUUGAGGGAGAACAUGCACAUGUGUUUCUACUGGGGAGGCUUUCCUGCCUCUGUGCAGGCCAGUGCACACACACUUUGACAUGCAGGCAGAUACAGGAAAUGGAGGGCUGUGGUUGAAUAUUGCUGAUGUUUGAACUAAUUAACCAGUGGAAGCAGAGCUGAAUGGAUCUCAGAGGUGCUGCACUCCUUCCACAAACUCUGUUCUUGCCUGUAAGACCAGGUGUUUACACGUGUGCUGAUUUUGCCCCCACCUUCCCCUGGGAGAUCUCUUUAUUUGAGGAACAGCUGCUUGCCUUCCUGCUGAAAUUUCAACAUAGUAAACACCCUGAGGGCAAGGUGUCCCUGAAAACCCCUCUGCACUCCCUAGUUCUAUGCCCAGAAAACAAGGUGUCCUGGGUCUGUCCCCUCCCACCUCCUGCUGCACCCCCAGCCUGCCCGUUGGCAGGACAGAGCAAGAAGCUGAGAUGUCCUUGGCUUAGUAUAAGCACUGCUCUGCAGCAAUUAAAACAUUGGGGUGUUAUCAGCACUCUUCUCAUCCUAAGCCAAAACAUAGCAUUCUACUAGUUACUAGGAAGAAAAUUAACUCUGUUCUAACUGAAACCAGGACACAAGGUGUCAUCAUCAAGCUUACUGUAGUGUCACAGCAACUCUGUCUCAUAGUGGGAAAGCCAAGCUGGCUCCAAAAUACAGGACUAGCAUGACAGUGGGAAAGGAGAGCAGCUGACGGGGGGCUGGUUUCCACCCAACUCUGGGCUGCAAAGGGCUCCCAUACAUUCGUGAUCUUACUAGUGGCAAAUCCUUGACCCCUACCUCCACCCCCCUGCUUUUGCACUGAGGCGCUCUCUUUUUUUUUUUUUUUUUUUUUUUUUAAAUCACUGGAGUAUGAUGUUUUUGAUGUUCACAGUCUUAACUCUCUUCACUCCAAGCAUGCUGAAAGAGCAUUUGCUUCUAGCCUGCAUCCUGUGCAUGGGAAGGCAUGUGCCUUUUCCUGGAGCCAUGCUAACCUGAGAGGUUGUGUCCUGCAGUUGCCUGGGGAGUCACGGAUUGGGAAUAGCCUUGUGGACAGAAUCGUUCGUCUUACUUUGCAUCAGGAAAGCUGAUGUAGCUGAAACUGAGUCGUGUCUGGGACUUAGGAGUCCAGCAGUGUUUGUGAUGGCAUUUCCUGCUGAGGAACCAGCUGUGCUCAGUGCUGCUAAACCUGAUGUGAGGAGUGUGCUCUUUGUCAGGGCAGUUAACCGUGGUACUCAUCUCCCCUUUCCAAGGUGGUGUUGUUGUUGUCAGGAGCCAGGACAUCUCUAUGUCUGGCUGGACCUGUGUUGCCAGCUUGGUCUCUUGGUGGAGCAGCCUGUACCUGUCCUUCCUUCUGGACCUUGCCAGGAGCAGAGGCUGCUUGCCCAGUGAAAAGUAGCAGAAUUGACCACACAAUUGUUAAUGAAAAUCACAAGCAGGAAGAUGUAUCCAAGCCCUGUAAUUGCAGUAAUUUGAGCCAUCCUCAUGAAUGUGCUAAUAGCCGCUCUUCUGGUCUCAGCCUAGUAAUUCUUCUAAUGUCACAUUUCAGUAUCUCCUCCACCAUCCUGCACAAUGCAGACCCACCUGCCUUGUAAACAUAAUCCAUUUGAAAGUUGGUGAAUCAUCUGUCCUGUGGAGCUGAUUCUUUGUUUUCAGAUGUUGAAAGUUUCCAGUGGAACUCCCUGGGGAGAAGGAGGUGGAGCUGGUGCCAGGUGUUGGAGACUGCGCUGCAUAGCACAUUGCUUGCAGCUUUUGCAUUCUUCUUCCGUGUAAGAAGAUGAGAUGGAUCAGCCUUGGCCAAGCAGGAGUUUCCUGGACUCUGAAAGCAUGAGGCUGGGGAAGCAGAUGUUCAGUUGUCCUGAAUGCCAUGGUAUGGGAGAGCAGAAACGUGUGUGCUAGGAAGGGAUUGUGUAGCUGGUGACAGGCAGCUGACACUCAAAGAGUAUGUUGAGAGACCCGUUCUCCUUGUAUGUUGUUAGACAUCACAGGAUAAUUCAGAUAGAAAAGGACCUCAACAGUUCUCCAUGCAGGCAGAGUCAACUGUGAGAUCAGACAAGGUGGCUGAGGCCUUCAUCCACUUGGAUCGUGAAAACCUCUCUGGUGGGAGCCUCUCAUGGCCCCUGCUCAAUGCUUGACUGUUCUCAUAAGGAAGAGGUUUUUCCUUUUCUGAAGUUUGAAUCUCUCUCAAGUUAUGCUCAGUGUCUCUCAUCCUUUCACCAAACACCACUGGUAAGAGCUGGGUUCCAUCUUGUUGAGUAAUUUCCGUGUUGAUACAGACAGAUUGCUUUGAGGUGCCCCUGAAAUCAUCUCUUUUCCAGGCUGAAUUAGCCCAGGACCCUUCUGCCUUUCAUUACAGACCAAGUGCUCCAAGGCCUGAGUACUUUGGUGGUCUGUUGAAAUCACUCCAAUUUGUCCAUGUCUUUUCUUGUCAUGGGAGGAAAACUGGAUGCAGUAUUCUUCAUGAGGCCUAACAAAUACUGAUAGGGAUAGUUGUGGGUUUGGGCAGUGGUAUGCCCAAACUAGGAAGCACUGACGUUCCUGGGUCCGUCCCCAGGUAUCAGAUGAGACCAGUGGCUGCCUGAAGACCUGGGAUGCCUGGGGUUUUCCCUACUCAGUCCAGUCACAUGGCGACAUCAUGCAAGGAAGCUCCCUGUUUUCUGCAGGUGUCAGGGAUGUCUCCUUACACAGUGCCAUCUGUUGUUUGUGCCCUUGGUUUCAUAGAUUUUUAAGGCCUAAAGUGUCUAUUCAGAUAUCUAUGGCCCCUGUGUAUCUCAAAGUGAGAAAUGUCAUUAUCCUGUUUUGCCUGUAAUGAACCCAGUAUCUCUCAGUUGAUGUAUUUUCCAUGACAGGAUAGAGUAUGCUAGGAGGCAGAGCAGAUGGCACUUCCCUGGUAGCGUGGCCCAGUGCUGCGUUUCCUAUUUGCACUUGCUUGACUACAGGCUCCAGCCUUUUUCUUCACAAAGUUAAAGAGCUCUUUCACACCAAGUAUUUUCUCUCUAUGAACUGCUUACAAUCAAAUCACCUCUCUGGCUCCCUUUUUGGUGAGAUAACAGACUGAACUCUCAUUCUGUCCCUGGCAAGUGUUUUCUCCAGCCUCCAAAUCACAUUUGUCAUUCUUCUGCACAUCCUACAUUUAUUUUUUUUCCAAAAUCCCUUUAGAAAUGUGGGCUCCAGAACUGGCUGACAGUACCAUCCAGGGGGAACCUUGCCAGCCUGCUCCCACUCACUGCUCCCUGUCCACACCUCAGAGCUUGCUACCAGCACUUGCCCUAUUGAGGGUGUGAACAGGGGACAAAGGGUGCUCUGUGUAGAGCAAAAAAGACUCCCUGGUUCCAUGAAUGGCUGAUUUCCCCUCUAUUUGAUGUUGGCCCACAUGGGCCAGUCUUCUUGUCAAUACCCACUGAGGUUCUCCUAAAAUGCUGUCCCUCUAGGUUGGCAGUUGCUGGAGAAUAAAAGACCAAGGAGCAGUGAGCUUUUGCUGGGAAUUGCAUGUACCAUUGUUUCCAUCAUCAAUAAGCUACCUUCAGUUGAGAAGGUGGAUCAGCCACCUUCCCAGCUGCUACAUCUUCCAUAGAAAAGCAAACGGGAGCUUUAAGCAGAGAAAAGGAAGAAAAGGCAGCUUACCAGGAAGGGCAGAGAAACUGGAUGCAGAAAACAAGGAAGGUGAGAAAUGCAGUGAGUUGUGCAGCUAGAGGGCGUAAGUGCAAGAACUCAUUCUGUCUAGCACUGCAAGAGGGUUUGCUGGGACAUGGAGCUGUCCUACAAAACCCACAGUAGCAUGGGUAUCCCUACCAUCUUGUUUGCUCUUACGCUUUUCUACCUAGCAGGGCAGCGUGGUUGCUUUAUCUAUCAGAGCUGCUUGCAUUAAUAGGAAGUAAUGGUCACCUGUGUUAAAGAGUUUAAAUUACUGCUGAAUACAGCUCAAACUCUCCAGAGCUAGGAGAUACAUGCAGGAGGAGCAGUAAUGCUCAUGUUUACUCUGUCUUUCCACCAGGUGCUCCUCUUCCCCCAGGGCUGAAGUGGUUUUGGUGUUUCUUGCUUGUGCCUUGAAUCUACGGAGGCACCAGCAAGGGCUGCCUGGAAAGCAUAACUGUGUGUAUCUCAGGAGUACAGAGAACAGGCAUAGCUUGCACAGGGCUCAUCUUUACUUUUUCUUGUGUGGAUGCUUCUUACAGAAGCCUCUACUACAAAUUUUAUAUUGAAUGGUGAAAGUGGGAGAGGGAAUUGGUCCUUGUAGAUAGUGUUGUUCCUUCAGCCCUACACAACACCAAUCCUGGGAGCUUUCCCAGGAUCUCCCCUCAGCUGUACAUCUCCUUUGGCUCCCACUGCAUCAGCACUCCCCUGUGCACUGGGCUCAGCCACCUUAUGUUGCCAUUCAUCAUUUCUGAUCCAAUAAAUUACACCUUUAAAAUGCAAUGGGAAUUGUUUUCUGUGUUUUAGAGCCAUGAGCCCUUCAAUUUCCAUUUGUUUAGCGGAUGAUGAAUGGACAGGGGUGACUGGUGGUCGAGCCAUGCAGAGGGAUAGGAGAGCUCUGUUACAGUGACUGUGCUCCCUUUGGCAAGUCUUGCACCGGAGGCCUUGUUAGGUUGCGAGGCACCAACUGUCUGGGGCUUCCCUUUCCAUGGUUCAGUUCAUAAUGGGUCAAAGAGGGUUUUGUAGAGGCUGAAUCAGAACAUCCAGUCUUUAUUCCUGUACUGCGGGGACGUUUUUGCACUUGAUGUCAGGGAGAGGGGAGAGAGCUGCUAUGUGGGGUGCCAAGCCCAGGACAUUUGGUUCUACUACAGAGGCAGGGCUGGGAGCCCCAGGCCCUGCAGCUGCUUAUGAGGGACUGAUUCAGAUUGUGGAUAGGAGCCCUAAUGUCAGGAGAGAAGGAUGGGUGGAGAGUCUCAGGAGAGGAUGGCAGAGGAAGAGUGCUGGUCUGGGUGAUGGAAGCACAGGGGGCUACUGAUCGCAGGAACUUGGGGAAAACUGUUCUGGCAUCUACAGAAUGGAGCAGCCUAGUGUCUUCCAGGUGAUGGAGAAGUCCUUCUUCAUGGUGGAGGUAAGGCUCCUGCAAGCUAGCCAUUUCUACUAGUAAGAUCCAGGACUGUCGGAAACACAUGUCAGCAGUCCUGGGGGAGGCUAUCCCUGUGCAUCUCCGGCAUACAGUGAUGAGGGAAGACACAACAUGUUUGAGACUGCAGCCAUUGCCCAGUGUUGUGAAUGGUUCUCUUGAAGACAGUGAGAUCUGCAUGCGUUGCUAUGCCAGUUAGUCCUUGUUCAGCUGAUGCACCAUUUUGUUUGCUGCAUCUGUGGAGCUUUUGUCCUUGUGCUCACUGUUCUCAGUAAUCUCAAGUCAAAGGCUGCAUCUGCACCACAGUGUUUAGGCUUAAAAGAUGUGGGGUACACGAUGGGCAUUUGAGGGGCAUGGCCUUCACUACAUGGUUUGCGUCCUUCUCCCUCCACGUGCUUGUUUUCUUGCAAUUGUAGUUUUAAGUUAGUUGUGCAAUACUUCGGGCUUGUCUCAUGGUUUUAACGCUGGAUGUAGGCUUUCCUGUGUGACUCUUGUCCCACAGUUGUGUCUGAGAGUCCUGCCUUGAGCAAUAAAAUUCUGUAUCUAAAUUCACACUGCCAAUGCAUUUCAGUUCUUCCCCUUUGCCCUCUUAUCUCACUCUGCAAGCUGCAGCCCUCUGCGAAAAGACUGUGAGAGGCCCCCAGCUCUGUUUGUCUGCUCUGGGUGACUGCAGCAGCUGUUCUGCUGCCAUGUACCCACAGUGCUUGCACAAGUGGCAAGAGAAGGCACAGAAGGAGUUAAAUAGUGAUGGGAAAAUUGGUAUUUAAUCCAGUCCUGUCUCUUCUAGCAAACUUAGAUGGGAAAAUGCCUCCCUGUUGGAAACAGCACCUUUCGGAAAUGGAAAUCCAGGAUGGCUGGGGAUUAGGGUGCCUAUCACUGGAAAUGGGUUUCUUAUCGUCUCUCUGAGCUGAAUUGUUGGGACAGCCUCUGAAAAUUGAAUUGGCUUCCCUGUUUCUGUCUCUGCUAUUGCAUCCCUCCUUUGCUGUAGCCUUCUGCUCAUCUUCCCUGCCUCUGGUCUCCCUUGUCCCCAUGCUCAGCAGAGCAGGGGCUGCCUAUGAGUGGGUCAUGUGUAUGGGGAGAGAGUGCCACAGCUGGCAAGUAGGUAGGACUGGCUGCAUCUCUGAGGAUUCAUCCUCUGAUCUCUAAAAGCCAGGAAGAUGUAGACCCUCUUUCUAAGCUUCCUUCUGACCCUGCAAGGACUGGUGGUCUGGCAGAGCCUGUCAUAGGGCAGCAUGAGUGGAGGCUUGAAAUGAUCAGAAGACAUCGGGCACAACUGGAAACGAGCAGUAGUGAAGAGGAGCCAGUGUGUAGGGGGGGCUGGACAGCGGGAAAGAUGAGAGCAGCUGGAACAGACAGGGGAGAAAACAGGUUGAACACAUUGGAGCAGGAAAGAGACUGACUUCCUGUGAGACAAGGAGCAGCCUGAAUCCCAGGUCUUUGCUGUGGUAGGUGGAGGCAUGGCUUUCCCAUCGGCACUCAGGCUACGUAUUGGGAUGGCCAAGUUGGCUCUUACCGUUUCCUCAUUGCCGCGUGUCUGUUUGUGGUAUGAAGCACCCCACAGUGCUAGCUGGCCUGUACGCAGCUCUGUGCUGGUCUCGGGUGUCCCCACGAAGUGUGGCAGUUAAUUGCCCCGCUGGCCUGGAGCACGUUAGGCUGAAUGCAGAUUGGACGUUUUCUCACUGUGAGAACUGCAGGCUGCAGCCAAGGGAUGUGGGUGUGCUGGCUGUAAGUGUCCAGGCAUAGCACUAGGCAUUUCUUUUUAAGGUUUUUGUUUCCAGGGUUUGGUUUGGGGGUAAUUCCAAUUUCCUGAGCUGUAUUUGACCAUAGCUUACCAGUGCCUGAUCUCAUCUUUGUCUCUGUCACAGCACAGGCUUUUUUUGGGGAAUUUCCCACCCGUGUUAGAGUUAUGUGUGAACUGUAAGCAUGAGAGGUGCUAUGCGUAUGCAUGCUGCUGGCUUUUCAGUGAACCAACCAGCAACCAUGAUAUGGUUGCUACCCUUGUUUCAUUGUCUGCCACAACGUACUAAGUUUGCAAACAAAAAAUACUAGGACAAAAGUAUUAGUGAGGGUUGUUUGGUUUUGGUUUUGUUUCCUUUUUUCUUUUUUUCUGCUCUGACAAAGCUGCCAUCUGUGGUUGAUGAAGCCUGAAGCAAAAAUGCUCUCUUUGAGUAGCCCCUCUGCACUAAGCAAAGUAAAUGUAAAGUAAUUGCUGACUAUCAGGGCAAAGCCCUAGCCAAGGGCCGGGUUCCUCUUGCAAGAGUAGGCUGUAGAGCUUGCUGUCUGCCCUGAGAAAGAGCUGAAGUCCUUCUAUCUUAUUAGGGUACUGGUAUUUGCUCUCUGCUGAAGGACUUACUUAAAUUGCUGACAAAUAACAGGAAAAAUGUUACCUGUAUCAUUAAAGUGCUUCCUUACAUGCCCAGGGGCAGCUAUAGCCAGGCCUAGUCACAUCAGAGGGGUGGGGAGCCUCAAUUUUUCUGCAGCAAAGGAAAUCAGGGACAAGUGUAUUUUGUUAUUUGAGGACCCCAUUAAAGAGCUAAUUCCUGGAGUUCAUUGUUGGAUUGUUGCAUUGUUCAUUGGAGGAUUGUUCAUUGAUCCCUAGCAGCAUCCACACAUGCAUGGGAGGACUCACCAGUUCUGUUACACGACACAUGUUCAACCUUAUGCGGUGGCUGGGAAAGCUGGGACAGGGAUGGGGGCAGCCCAGCAGCAGCCAUAGAGCAAUCCUUAACGCAGUUGAGGUAAGUUUUAUUGUUUCCAGCCCCACAUGCUUCUGCACAGCUGCAGACCUGCCCCACGGCCCCAGGGAGUGGAGCUGUGGAGUUUUUCCCAGGAGUAUUUUGUGAAGGGGGAUGUUUGCCCUGCUCUUGGUCCAGGGCCAUGUUUGUGAGGGUGCAGGUCUAUCUGCACUCUAGCUCAGGGGCAGUCAAGGCAGGGACAAGCAUAGGGCUGUUCCUGCGUCACCUGUGGAAGCAAAGGGUCACCCAGCUGGCCUGGAUGUGCAUUUUGUCCUCUGGGGCUAUCACAGCCCCUUGGGUGUGGUCAUGCGUUUAGCAACUGUUAGAGUAGCAUCUAUUUCAUUUUGGGCUAAAACUGAUAAAUCAAGGUGACUUUGGGGAGAGAAAUAAUUCCUUUCUCAGGAUUUGCAUAAUCCUGGGUGGUGAUAUGAUAAUGGUGUUUGUUAAAGACAGGACACAAUAAAUUAAUAGUGUUAAGUUGUUACCGCAAAAUGCAAAGCAGGUAAUUUAUUGCAGGUGCAAGGGAGAGUGUGAGUGCAGCAGGCAUCAGGCACGGGAGACUGGUUACUGCAGGCAGAGCAGGCACAGGGCUAGCAGCAGUUACUCUUUGGACCCUGCUUGGCCAUGGUAUAGAGGCUGUCCGGGGGCAGAUUAUCUGUUUCAGUCCCGUUUCCUGUUGUCUCUGUGGGGGUGGGACAUGCUUUGUGCCUUAGACUGAUCUCAAGAGCCAGCCUGAAGUGGUUCCCAAGCCCCACGGAGCCAGCCCCUGGUGGAGGGGGGACAGGUUGGCUGAGGACCAGCUGUAUCCUGCUGGUGCUGUGGGGACCUCUGGACACCGGGAUGCCCUGGGGGGUUGCAGCAUUGAGGAGAUGGGCCCUGAUAUUGUUCUUCAUGCCACGUUGGCCAUCUCCUGGAGCCAAGAGACUUUGAGACUUCAGUCCCCAGGAGGUUUCCCUCACCCUGAGAAAGCCUCUUGGUAAGUAAACCAGCCUGGAGACCUGCUGGCUUUAGCCCCUGUCCUCAGCUUUCACCUCAUGUACCUGGGUUCAGUUGAGGGACAAGUGAGGAAGAUCUGGUAUGAGGAAGAGGUAGUGAGAGAUGCUUGGAAAAGUUGCACUGGUACUUCACUCAUUCCCUGGGCUGGUGCUGCAGCUCCAAAGCUAUCCUUACAUGCCAUACCCCACUGGAAUCCUAAUGCACCAUUUAUCUCUGCAGCUCCACAGCUUUAUUAGAAGGGAGAUGCUGUGUGGGAGCCAGAGCAGGAUUUCAAGCUAAUUGGAUUCUGCGUCUCCGUGGUUCCCUGUGUAGGCAGGCGACAGGGAUUAGUGCAGUGUUUCUGAGGAACAGAGGAGAGUGAGGAUGAUGGCCUGCAUGGGGGUUUCCUCCUGUAUAACCCCUGCUGCUAGCCUCAGCAUAGGACUUCUCCACUUCUCUGGACAGGCUUUCAAUAUGCAGCAUGUCCCCAUUCUGUGGCAGUGUUGCUGCCCAAAUUGCAUAUGCUCUUCAUAAUUCUUUGAGCCAGGUACGGUCCUCUUCCAAGGGAAUAAAACAGCUCAAACAACUUCCGAACACGGGCAAGCCUGACAAUAGUCUGAUCUCUCCUGCUAAUCCCUUUGUGGGGGAAAAUAGAUGGAAAUCAAACAUCUGGUGGCUUUUGUGCACAACCAACUACCUGCCUGAACUUGUUCCCCUUUGAGUCCUCACUCCCCUUCCCAAACCUAGGUACUGCCUGGGUAUAGUACAUGUUUGAAGGCCACUGUCUGCAAGUUCCUAGUCUCAUAUUACAGCCUGUCAGGGCAGUAGCAGGAUUCACCUCAUUAACAUAGAUUUAUUCCUGUAUAAACAUUUUAUUGCUUUAAUUGCAAAGCAGUCAUACUGCAGGCAGUGGUAGUAAUGGCUCCAUUUACACUGGGUGUUGAGACAGUGUUCCAGGUGUGUGAGCCUGCAGCAGAGUACACCGGGCAUGCGGCUGAGAGCGUGCAGUUAUUACUUGCCACGGUGUCUACGUGUAGGAGUGUGUGCUGUGCAGUUCAGGAUCAACCAGUCUGGAUAAGUGGCCCUGAGUGUGGUGGCAUCACAGCAGGUUUGUGGUGUCCCCAGUCCUGUGGCAGCGUGAGAGUACAGACCUUGCUGCCUGGAGGAAGGGUGGAGAAGGGUGGAGGCUUAGAGGUACUGAGACCCUGAUUCCACAAGCAGUGGAGGAGGAACAGGUGUUCCACAGUCCUUUCAAGUGUCCACAGUCCUUUCCUCACUCUACCCCUCACUUUCCUCACUCUACCCCUCACUCUGCCUGCACUGUGACGUGGGCAGACAUGUCACCUCGCUGUGUACCCUGGAAACUGGGUGUCCUGCAUUUCUGCUGUGCUGAGGGACAGGUCUCAGGGCCUGGAUGGUGAGAUGGAGCCCUGGGGCAGCAAGAGAUAGGUGAGGGGGGUCUUGGGCUCUCUGGGGCAAUGGGAUAUGCCUGGGGUCUUGCUUUGUGGCUCCUGGCAGGGCAGUAUAUAUCUUGGGCUCCCUGGACUAUGAUGCAUGGACAUGUGUGUUCCCCAGUUCCCCAGUGCCAUGCUGGUAUUUGUACUUGCUCAGCACAGAAAGCUGAGGGUAGAGAGAGAAGCUUAGCUUUCUUGUCUGGUCUAAGCCAAUCUCUGGUGAGAUGUUUCCACUGCUGGGGCCAGGGAGCAAUCUCACAAGGGGACCUGGGAUGUGGCCUGCUCUUGCCUGUACUAUGGCCAGGCUUCCUGGAAGCCUGAGGAGGGGAGAGCAGCCUAUGGUGCUCCCUCACACACCGAUGCAAGGCUGUCUAGACCAUGCCCUGGCAAGGCAAGUGUGUUUCACCACGGUCUGCCCUCUUUCCUCCAUUGGUGUUCUCUCUUGCUGACCUGUGUUGAGGAGAGGGAGAUCAGCGAGCAGCUGCGUCCAGGUGUUUACUCUUUGGAUAAUGUUGGCCAAGCAGUGCUCCAGCUGUGCUGCAAGGCUCAGAGGAAGCCUGUCACACUGGUGUGUUUAGCAAACCUGUGUAUUUGUGAACGAGAUAUGUUGUUGCUUUAUGUUCAUGUUUGUUGUUUAUGAGCAAUUAUGCAGUGCUUUUUCAGCAGGAGAGCCUCCCAGUCAAACCUACCAGCUCUAGCUGCUCUUGGAGCCAUCAACCCCAUGGCAGUGCCAAAAUGCCCCCUUCUCCAUAAAGUUUCUUGGCAACUCCUUCCUGUCAGUGGGGUGGCUCCAAGGCCUCACCCAGCUGAGCAUCAGUGCAGGAGAAUGCACCCAGCCAAUGGUGGCUGCUGGGCUGAAAGAUCUCUAAGUGUAGGGGGGACAAGUACUUGCCAGUCUGCUGCUGCAGUUUGUGAUCUCUGUUCUCCCAUUCUCAUCCAAAUGUUAAUUUUAUGGACACCUUUAUGAAUCUUGCAGUUUUCCCCUUCCGUGGGCUACACGGAUUUCAUCAAGUUGAGAGGUGGCACUUCUGGCCUUUGGUAGCAGGCUAUCAAUUUAAUACUCUGAGUGUAAUAAAAAACAUGGGGCCAUAUUAACACACAAUUACUCUGCUGCUCCUUCCUGUAACUCCUUCUUUGCCACCUGAAAGCCUAGGAUGCAAAGUAAGUGCCUCAGCUGCAAGCAGAGCCACAUGUUUGGGGCAGCAACUGCUAGAGCCAACCUCCACACUGGAACAACUAUGUAUUUUCCACAUUGUGAGCUGCUCUUCACCUGCUUGCCAAGGAUGUAGAAUUUUGUGCCCACUUCUCUGUUAGACUAGGCAAUGUGGACAAAUGCUUGUGUCCUGUCUCUGAGACUGUUCCACCUGUUCUGAACAGGAGACACCUGCAGAGUGUCUCACACAGUGUAUUGAUUUGCCAGGCUGAAAGGAAAGGCGUUUCUUUGCUUGCUGCAAGACAGUCUUACUGCUGACAAGGCUGGAAGAAUAUGUUCGGGUCAUUCCAUCAACGUAAAGCUUAAAUGUUUAGCUGCAGCUAUUGAAAACAAAACGAGAACAGCAGCAACAACAGCACCAAAAGCAGUGGAUGCCUCAUUAAUGCCUGGAUUUAAGAUUUGCAUUUAAGCACCUGUCAGAUACAGUGCAUGGAGCUCUGCACUGGACAGCACCCUGUGUCAAGAGUGCUGCCUCUCAGCACUUUUUCACCUGUGGACACCUUUGUGUCAGCUCAGCCCCACUUCACCACAGUUGACAGCUUUGCAAAACAGAUUUUUGGACUCAAAUUUUUGUCUGGGAAUUUUGAAUAACCUCCUGCUGUUUUAAAGCAUGACCAUACCUUUCUGCUCUCUCUGCUGAUUAAGAGGGCCUCUUCAUGUUGUAACCUUGCUUUCAGCCACUCAACCUCUGUGAGAAUGCCAGUGACCUACUCGAAGAGUUAUUUGAAUUGUAGGUCUUCUGUUGAGUAAAUAUGGACCUGGAAGAGUCGUUUUUUUCCUACCUUGUUCAUCCCGGUUUUCAGGAAAUCAGUAGAUUUCUCAUACAUUUAACUUGUUUUGCAAAACAAUCACUUCAUAAGGUAUUAUUUUAGCAUCAUAAAGCGGGUUGCAUUUUGGACAUCAUGAUUCACAAUUUUCAUGACUUCGUAACAGCUUGCAAUAUGUAUAUUAUUUUUUAAAAAUCACAUCCUGAUGCAACAUAUUUAAUAGUCCCAUAAUUCUGGGAUUGUCUCUUCCUGUCAGAUGUGUGAGCAUGUCACAGAAACUAUCCUGCUGACAGGCUGUUGUCUUUGGAGUCAGGUCUUACCCACCCUUUGCAGCCCAACACCUGCAGAGUCCAAGGCAAACACCAGGAAAUGCUGCUCUCAAGAGAUGGGCAGAGAUCCUGCUCUAUGUCUGUUCCUCCCUCUGAUCUGUUUCUCUCUGUGCAUUUUUUCAUUACCUUGUCUGCUGAGAGUUGAAGUUCUUCCAGGCUGUUGCUGACACAGUGUGGCAACGAUUGGGCCCUUUGCACUUCAGCUGUAAUCAGAUCACGUCAUGACAGAUAAGAGUGCACAGGGGCCUUUGCUUGCUAGGGAAGGGUUGUUCAGUUUAUAGUCCCUGUCUGCUGCACCUGGAGAUGCACCAGAUGCUCUGAGCCCCUUUGUCUGUGCCCAGGACCAACUGUUUGCUCUGUGCAGGAGGCAGUAGCUCCUAGCAGCACCUGUAUGAGAGUUGGUGAGGGGCUGCUGAACAGAAAUGGGUGCUGUGGCUGUCCUGCAGUGUCCCCUCCUAUGGGAUAGUGCCAGGUGCUGUCACUCAGGUACAGGGUGGUGUUGUUAAGUCCUACUCCGUGCAAAUGGUUCUCUAUACCACAUCACUAUUUUUCUGUUGGUCUGUAGCAGUUGAUGUGCCUGUUAGAUGACCCUACACUCCACUACAGUCCACAACCAGCUGUCUACAGUGAUGAGAAAAACACAGCAUACUGGUCCAUUGAGGGACUUCAUCAAAAAGCUCAGUGGGGAGCAGCCAUGUGACUCUGCUGGCCCAUAACCUGGUCUCCAGCAUGACACCUUGCCCCUGCCAUGCUGCUGUGCGCCAGCCCCGCCACAGCGUGCAGCUGAAUUGUGUGGCUCUGGGGUUCAGGCACCCUGUGAGCACCCAGGUCCCAGCUGAAGAGCAGCAGCAGAUGGAUGUGGAAAGCCUUUAAAUUCAGCACAUGAUCAAUACUAAACUGAUCUUCUGGAGUCCUUUAUAGGAUUACCCCAGUCUCAUGCAUCCAAUUGUAAAAAAUCACUCAGCACACUAGGGAGAUGUGAGAAAUGCCGCAAACCCCAUUUAGGAUGCAUAGAGCCAGAGUAAGUAACUUCACAAUUGUUUCUUGCAGUAAAUAAUUUAUCCACUUUACUUUUUUUUUUUUUUUUUUAUUGUCCCCACCCCCCUGCCUCAGCUCCUUUCUGUUUUCUCUUUUGUCCUGAAAUUCCCUUGCUGGGUAGCUUGUUCUUGUGAUUCCCUACCACAUAUGUGUGCUUGUGCACACAGAGGAACACAAAUCUGUCCCAGUCCAACAUUUGCUGGUUGCUAUACAAGGGCCAGCAGUGCUGGGGCAGAGACAAUGCCAUUUCACUGCUCAGCAUUAGCAGAACUGAGCUGGGUUCAGUCCAGGCCUUGGCCUGGCUUCUCCACCUUAGUCUCUGCCCCAGUGCUGCCUUUACUGGUGUCAGGAUGCGUUAACAGAAAUGUUUGGAAUGCGUUAGUAAUGCUAAUAGUAUUUCUGUAAUAAUUAGUAAUGCUGUUUGAACGAACUCUCACUUAAUGAUACAAAUUACCAGUCAGACGAGCACGGAGCAGGGGCUGAAGCUGACAAGUGGAGAGCAGCAAUUACAGGGUGGGAGGCUGCUCUGGCCUGGGGCCGGACAGUGGCCCGUGCUCCUCACCUGGCUGUGUGCUGAGCAUCCGUGUGCUCAUAGCUAGGUGCCGCAGUGGGAGGGGAGCUGGUGCAUGUGGCAUGCCACAUCCAGUCUGGGGCGUCUGGAGGGCUCUGUCCUGAUAGCACACCCUUAACGGUGCAGGCUCUGGUGGUCUUGCUGAACCAGAUGGCUCAUACGUAAUGUAAAUUGCUACAGCUGCUAGAAACAGGUUGACAUGAGUCCCUGCCAUGGGAAGAAGCUUAUCUGGCCAUGUCAGUGGAGGCAAGGCUGUUACCUGUAUCUCUGAAGCCCUUGGCAGCACACUAGCUCCUGAGGCAUCCUGCUUUUGGGUAGCUUUGUGGAAAAGACCUGAGUAUAAAUCCGCAGGUGUUUAUUGAGCUGAAAAUUGUUGGAAUCAGGGAGACUGUCAGGAAGAAUUCUGAUUCUGUCCACCUCUGAUCACUGUGAAGGGCAGGAGUGGCUGUGGUCUGUGCUUGCCAGACCCCAAACUGCACCUUCAGGAACAGAUCUUGCUCUUCGGUGUUUCCCAUCCCACUCCACUGGCUCUUUUACUGCUCCUUCCAUCAAGGCAGCCAGUGACCUUUUGAAGAGAAAUGAUCCCAGCAUCAUUGUGAUAUUUUGUGUGCUAUCCACUUGGGAAUCUCUAAGCAUUUAUAGGCCACAUCUGAGUUAUUCUAAUUCCCUGCUUUGUGAUGUGCCGGCAAGAUCCCACCAUCUGGAGGUCAGUGGCCGUUUUUGGACAGUGGUUGUUUUGAACCCAGACCAGAAUCCCUGAAAUGCCUCUGGGGCACUUACCAGGCCCUGGGCUGUAAAGGGCUAGAGUGCCUCAGACACAAGCUGCUUUGACACUUUCUGACUGCUGCUGCUCUGGGCACAGAAACCUGACUGUAAAUGAGUUGUUUCCCUAAUGAGCUGUGAGUCCAAGGCCCCCAGUGCAUUGGGCACAGCACUGUCCACCAGGUCUGGGUAGGGAUCGGGCACAUCAUGGAUGAUAUCCCCAGGAGUGGCCCCCUGAGCUGUGCAAAGGGGGUCUGCACCUGACCUUAGCCUGAGGUUGCCCGUUACGUCGUAUCACCAAAGCCUGGUCUAACCAGAGCUGUUGCUAACGAGGCUGGGGAGGAUGAGGAUGUGCAUGCACAGCCCUGCUGACUCCCACCGCUGCCUCUGCUGGCUGCCUGCGAGUGAAGGCGAAUGGAAGAGCUCUGGACAGGCAGUGGUGCCUCUGCUGGCCCUGGGGCCAGCUCCUGGAGCAGCAUACUCUGGAUACCCCUGCAGAUGAGAGCUGGUGGCACUCAGCACCGCUAGGGCUGUCUUCAAGGCUCUGACUUUGCUUUCCAUUCAAGGCCUGUGCUUCAGCUCAAUCCUAUAUGCUUCCUGUGGGAUUAGGCAUGCAGUGCCCAUGGAACUGGCUGUUGAUAGCCCCCCUCUGCCACCAGGCAGCAGCCUGUGGGACAGGGCUGCAUAUGGCCGCGUCAGGCUGAGCUGACAGGCCUGGUGUGAAAUAAGAUGAAUGGGCUGAAGUUGGUGAAAAUGAUUCUAAUUUAUAAUCUGCUGCUUUGUGGAGCUCCCCAAUUAAUUCUCUGUAGAUACAUAAGUAGGCCACAUGUUUGCUUUGCUUCGAGUGUAAUAAACAUUACGCUCUGUCCUCUGCUUUUGGUGCUGGUUCCUGUCAGAGCAUUAGUCCCUAUAGCUAAUUCCUCACACCUGUCUCCCAGGCUCCUGGGAGCCUGGCUGAGCAUGGGGAGGAAAUGCCAGGCUCCAGGAAACUUGUGGCAUGGAGAGAUAAAUUGCUGAUCAAAGGGCUAUCACACAGUGCCUCUGAAUAUUUAGUCGCAGGCAAGGCAGCCAAGCCCACUCAGGAAAGGGCUUUGUUCUUGAAGAGCUGUUUGCCUGGCUUCGCUCUGCAUCACCAAGCAGCUGGGGUGGGAUGGGGUGCUGGGAGCUACAUGCCCUCAAGUCAAAAAGAACUGGCAAAGGAGGGGGUUAUAAGGGUGUAACGGGGGAGGAAGCGGGGUGUCGGGGGGGCUGUUAAAACAUUAGCAGCAGACGGGUGAGCUCUGCUGGGGUCUGGAUGUCAGCAUGGAGCUGCUGCAGAACCAAGUCACUUGCUUUGAGCAGGAAGAACAGUCUGACUGAGGCACACACUUUAGCUGAGUGCGUGACUUUCCUGCUUGUCCUGCUACCUGUGUUUUCUGAGGUUCCUGAGCAGCAGGAGACCUUUCCUAGGCCUCCCUCUCCAUUCCACACCCAGGAAAAAUCCUCCAUACUUGCUUACUUGCCACAACCUGCUCAGCACCCUGGCUUAGCUCUGGUGCUUUGAUGGUUCAUAAGGUGAAGAAGCACAGAGCUGCUUUGCUUGUUGAGAUGCCUUUGAGGGGGUGAAUGAAUUGGAAUUGCCAUGUGCUGGGUGAAGGUGCCUAAUAUGAUCUAGUUUGAUGUGAUGAUGGGUUAUUGAUUGCUGUGUAGAAAAGUGGGGCAGCUUACUUGUCAUUGUGUUUUAACUAUCUCCAGAGAAAAGAGAACUAAAAAUCAGUUUACCAGACAGUUUAAUAGUGAGUUUCAGCAUUGCUGCCAUUAACAGCCAAGCCACUCUUCUCUCUCACCUGGUUUUCCUCUUGUACCCACAGCUUUCCUGCUGACACCUCAGAGCAAGCAAAGCACUUGCCUGGCCCUGGGCUGCCAUACUGCCCUGGGUGGUGCAGAGCCAGCCACACUCGCUCAUUUUGUGUCCUUCACUCUGCCUUGGGACAGGGACAAAUUCCUUGAGCUUUGGCAGGGGUGAGGUGCCAGCUUCUCCCUGUACAGCAUCACCCGGUUCUGUGCUUACAUGGGCACAGGGAGCCUGGCUCAGCAACUGUAAAGCAUCUGACUGCACCUGAGAGUAUGAACAUCCCAUCUGCCCUCGCGCCAUGGUGGUGAGCAUUCGCGGCCAUAGCACUCCCCGGGGAGGUUCUGGCAGGAGGAGCUGUGGUAGGUACUCUCAAGGACAAAGAUGCCAGGCUGGCCUUGGGUACCUGGCCCCCCUUUUUCUGGAGCCCCAGAUGCUGGCACUUGUGUGCCCCGUGCAGGCCUGCCAGGGAGAGGAGCCAAGCAGUAACUGUUAUCGGGCUCACACAGCCCUUCCCGUCUGGCUGCUCUUCUGAGGAAUGAGCCACACUGCCUGCAGGUGCCAGGGAGCGCUCGCAGGUGCUCCUGAGGCAGGAGGUACAGAUGCGCUGUCUGUAAAGUCUUGGUACAGAAAAGGCUGUGAGGUGAUGCUGGUUAGUGACAGAGUCAGCCUUACCCCUCCAAGCCAGCUUGUUGCAACCCCAGGAGGCCUGUGGCCUCUCUUCUCACCUUGGAUGCAGAUGGGAGCUGGUGUGGAGUCCUGGGAUUUGUGUCGGCUCAGGCAGCUUGACUUAUGUUGCAGGAGGCUGAAAACACAAAGCUCAGAUUGAAUCUGGGUUCAGAGCACUGGGGGGGGGAUGGAGAGGUGGAGCAAGAGGAUGCACAAAGCUGCUGAGAUUCCAAGGCCACAAUUUCUCCCAACUGCUAUGAGGCACAGUCCUCUCUGAGAGGUCUGCCAGGGCAGGAAACACCUGGGAUCAAGGCUUUGCUGGCAGACGUGGACAGUGUCUGUGUCGCUGCUCUCUUGAUUAUUCUCCUCACUCCUGUAGCACUCUAGAGCAAGCAGAAUGCAGCCAGAAGUCUGUGAACAUCAAGGGUGGUCCAGGGAAGGCAUGAUGCUGGGGGCUCUCCAGUCUGGACCACAGCUGUUUGCAUUGUGCCACUGCAGCUGGUGAAGGGAUAACUGCCCCUCUGCCUGAAUGGAGUCCAGACCGAAGACCCUGAAGACCUUUCCUGGGGUGUUUUCAAACUCUGUGGCUGUGGAGCCACUGUGAUUGCACCAGGACACUGAGGUUUCUCUUGUAUCUCUUGAAGCUAUCCCAGAGCUUCUGGGAAGGGCUGAGCUAGCAGGUGCCCACAGCCCUGUUGUCCGUGUCCAAGCCAGAUCCUCUUGCUUUUGCUUUGCCUGACCUGGGACAGAGGUGUGGGGCUUGGGCUUGCUGUGCUGGAAGGAAGGCUGGGCUGCAGCUGUGCCACUGGCUGCAGGCAUUUCUGCAUGGCUCAGGGCAUAGUAGCAGUGCCCUCAGGUGCCUGUCGCUUGCUCUGUCCUCAGCAGGUGGAGAGGGAAACUGAAUCCUGACGAGCUGUGCCAGGACAUGUUUCCAGGCCUGAGAUUGGUGUUUCUCCCUCACCAGUGCAGUUUGUUUCAGGGGUGCUGGAGCACAUGCAGCAGGAGCAGGCUGAGGCUGCUGGGCACAACGGCAGCCAGUCUGGUGGAGCAAGACAUUUUAAAUGCUUUUCAUUCCAACUCUCUGCAGCUUACGCCUUUCCAGGAGCUGCUCUCUGUUUUCAGUUACCUUUGUAACUGCAUUACAUCUCAGUAAAUAAGAGCUUUCCAAGUAUGCUGCAGGAGCCAGGGCAGCUCUGGGCCUCUUGAUUGUGUCCCUGAGGACAAGGCUGCUGGGUGUUUCUGGCACAGUGACAGCUGCUCUGCACCUUGGCUUUGGGGACUUUCUCCAGCCUCCCCAACACAUUUUCUGGAGAGACUGCCAGGAAUCUGGCUGUGGCAAGGGAAAGUGCAGUCUCAUGACUCUGCCACUUUGAGAAUAGCUCUUCAGCUAUUUCAAAGAGUUUGGACACUUGGCCCAGCUCUGCUCCCUCAGUAUGUCUCUUGCUCUUUCCUCACCCCAUCCAUGCCACAGAUAGAGGGCAAGGGACUGCAAGGCAUUAGAAGAGAUGACAGAGCUGAGCACCCAAGCCCAGCACCUUCCUCAGCCCCAGCUUUCCCCACCUUUGUAAUACCCCCUCACUCUCAGAGAGCUGCCAGUGCAAUGCUUGCACCCAGCCUCCCUGGCCUGGCCUGGCUCUCAUCCUGAAUUUAUUUUUACAUCUUAUGAUUUUCAGAGGUUUUUAAAUUUAAUGGCUUCUUCUCUCUUCUUUUUUUUUUUCUUUCUUUCUUCCUUCUUAGCACCUGAACUGGAUCCUCUCUGAGCCAUUGCCAGCUCCAGGGAUUACAAGUGAAUAAUUCAGGUUUGAUGGUGUAUUUGAAGUUUCAGGGAAGAAAGUGGCAUGUGUAGCCUGCUCCCCCCCCCAUACCUGUUCAAGGGCUGUGGUGCAAGCUGCUGCUGUUGCUCCAAAGGCAAUCUCAUGGAUACCCUACAGAGCCACACUGAACAAACAUUUCUUGGCACCCAGAAAUGGCCUUCCCAGAUCCUGGAGCCUAAGGCUGCCAGGCCACCACAGAGCAGCAGGCUUGUUUUCAUCCUACUGCUUGUGCAGGCUGCUGUUCUUUAAGGAGGCAGCUCCCCAGAACCAGCAGUGGAAGAAUAUUGCAAGGCCAGAGAGUGCUGUGGACUGAACCACAGCACCCUACUUGGCAGCCCAGGUCCUGGAGGGGUUCAAUUCCAGACCAGUGUGUGUAUCCUGGCAGCUCUGAAGUGUAGUGAAGAAGGCAAUGGGCAAACCUGACCUGCUUUAAAGAUGUUUACAGUAGAACAUAAACCCAAAGCUGAAAGGCCUUCAGAAAAUGAAAAGUCUUCCCUUACAAAGAUGGUGGGAGCCACAUCCACAGGCACUCGCGCUUGGCAGCAAACCCUUCUCAAGUGGCCUUCAGAGAGCUCCCUGCAAGCAGAAGGUGUUUUUAAGACAGGGAGAAGGAGGUCUACUGCAAAGUUCCUCUUUGGAUUUCAGAAAGGAUCCUGGGGAUCUUUGACAGGGCUGGUGGUGGUCACAGAGAGACUGUAAAGGUUUGUCUCAAGUGGUGCAUUCUGCUGGGAAAUGGCUUUGGGGAGUCUAUCUUGGGGAAGAGGCAGUGCUUUCCUAUCCUACUGCAGAACUGCUCAGACAUUGCUUUUUGAAAAUGGAACUCCUGAAUCACCUGUCUCUAUUUCACUGCCAGGAAACUGCUAGCACUGUGGCACUGAUGGCAGAACCAGGUGGUAUGACACAGUGGGAGCUACUCCAGCCAGUGGCUUCUUGCUCACUCUGAGAAGAUCAUUUGGUAUAUCUUCCUAUGCUUCUGGACUUGAGCUGGAGAACUGACUUGGUGGCUAGCUGCUGCUGGGCAAAAAGAGAUACCUCCAGAGUCAUCAUGUUGUUGUCUCCAGGCAUGGGUGGAGGAGGGAAGUGUUUGCAGUGGACUGAGAGGUGGAGAUGCAGAACAUUUGGGUGCAUUGUUUAUGUUUCCUGAGUGCAGAGCAGAACUUUGCUUGACUCUUCCAGUGUGCCCUGAACUUCACAGGGUAAGGAAGCAGAAGAGACAUCCCUCACUGGGUUUCAGGGUAUGUGUCAGACCAUCAGUGGUCUCUGUGGUCUGUAUUUGCACAGUGCCAACUGUUUCUUGUCCUCAAGGCACAGGGCACAGAAAGAUACACUGAAAAAUUAUUUUUAACCUCCUACAAUUUACUGUUCAGAAAGGUAAGUCACUUUUGUCAAGGGUGGUUCAGUAGCAGCCACUGUGGAGGCAAUCUUUUCCUGAUACACACAUCUUUUUGCAAGCUGGUGCUCACAAAAUUUAAGUAUGAUCUUUCAUGGUUUCCAGGAGCUCUUGGAAGAACUAACAAGCAUAUCACAGGGUCCAGCGUUAAACUCUUCCCUGCUGGGAUGCAGUAGAGAACAGAAACUGUCAAACAGUUUGAGAUCCAUUUAAUAGCAAUUAGUGUGGAUGAAAGAAGCACUAAUGUGAAAGCCUCAGUCUCUGUGCCUAAGAAUAAGUCAAUCCAUAUAUGACAGAAUUGAGGAUCUGCAGUACAACCAUGGAGCUGAGGAUCUGACAGAAUUGUGAACACAGAAUAAUCUUUGGAAUUCUACAUAUAGCAUGAAAGAAAAGGCACGUAUAUGAUGAAUGACAGAAGCCUAUAUGACAGAAGCUGCAACAGCAGAAGCCUUCUGGACAAGAGAACUCCUCUGCCCACCCAGAGGAGGACCCAUUGAAGGGGAGAAGCCGUCACUGGUAACAGAUAUUGAGCACCUACAGAAAGUAGGAGUAUUUCCAGGAAAAUCCCAAACUGCAAGAAAUGUAGCCUUAAAAUAUGUCCUUGUAAAAGCCUGAAAAAUGUGAUUCAGAAUGUGUGUUCAUAAAGACUCUGCAGACUCUGGAGGACUGUCUUCCAGUAAAAGGGUAUGAUAGACUUCACCCUGAAGUGGUGUAAACAAUCAAGAGCUGCCAACAGUUAGCUUCAAGACAAAGUGUUAGGUGGGUUGGUAGGAUGUUAUCCCUGGAAAAAGGAAAGGAAGGCAUACAACAGCUAAACAGGUGAAUAUUUGGUUAUGUGCAUAAUUUCACAAUUUGGAAAUACUAACAUUUUUAGAAAGCUAGGAUCAUUCUCUUGAUCCUGGUAAUUGCGUGAGCAGAAAAGCUCAACGUGAUGUGCUUGCACCAUGUAUUUUGGGAGGUUUUGGGAUUCCUGCAGUUGUACUUUGGGAAAGUUGUAGACACUUAUCAUGACACAAUACAUGAAGAAGCCUGCAACUGACAACCGAAGAACUAUACAUGGCACAAGAGAAGCAUAAGUUCAAAGAGAACUCGGUACAACAAGGGCUACCAUGGGGAAAAUGGAAGCUAAUGGGCUGACUGGGCACUCACCGAUGUCAUCUGUUAAAGGCAGUGGGUUUGAACAGGAUUUGAAUGAGAGGGAACUACACCUGAUGAAGGAUGGGCAGAGGUGGGUCUGAUGCUGCACCUUCUAGAUGUAGCCACUGGAUAAAGGCCCCUUCCUGUGUGGUGCAGAAGAGCUUUGCUGGUCCCUCCCAACCACAUUAUUCCUCAGGGUGCUGGACUCAGCCAUUACAGCACCAGUGUAUUCCAGAAGCGGUCAGAUCACCAUGCCUUUCUGGGAUGUGAGUCCAAAAAACAUUCUAGUACCAGAAAUAAACAACUACUGUUUUCCAACUUACUUACUCUUCACAGCUUUUUGCAGCCAAAUUUUGGCUUUCACUGCAUGUGACUGCACUACAGUUCUCCUACUGUCUGUAUGGGAAGAUUACAAUUGCUUUGAGCCCUGUUUCUCUCUGCUCUCAACUGGUAUCAGGGUCAUGGAAGAGCACAAGUAUGAACGUGUGUAUGCAUGCAUUUCUGUUUACCAGGGGGAGAAUGACAAGAGGAAACUGUAUCAUGCUCCUGACACCCCUGUUCUAAGCUUUGCAUCGAGCUGGGACCCUUGUAUGUAGCCCAGAUAUACGUCUUUCCUCCAUUUUCUUUGCUCUGGUUAGUUAUAUUGCAUAUCUAGGGGAUGGCUUCACUCUGUUACUCCACCCAGGUGGUGAGCUGUGCAUCCAGCUGUAAAUCUCAGGAGCAAGCACAACUUGGAAUAGAGUGCCUGUGCUGCCUGCAAAAGGAUAUUGUAUGAGCACACCCCACAGCAGUGCAUCCCCCUCCCCAGAUCACAUCUCAGUCAUGUUGUCUGCCUGCCCACUAGAAGGUCCAAACUCUUGCUAUUGGGCUUUCUUCAUUCUGCAGUCUGGUACUGGACCAACAGGGCAAAUGCUGAGUCACUGAUACAAGUAACUGCUCCAACCAUUAAUUUUUAUAGUCUGAGUGACAGCACUUCAUGCUGGGCACAAGUAGUGACAGAGAUGAAAGCUUGAAGCCAAAUAGACGUCACAGAACCAGCACAAGUGCUAUUUAUUAAAGAAAUGCCUGGAUUGCAGAGGAAGGAGAGGGGUGUGUCUUGAAAGGAACCUUUAACACCUAAGAGUGAAAAGUAACAAGGGCUGUGCAGCAAUGGGAGCUGCCAAAGGCAGCAGCUAAUGGACCUGGUCCUGGGGUGAGCUGGCAGCAGGGAGCAUGUGGCAGGGAGCCAAAGGAGGCAAAAACAUGGCCAGUCUGAGCUGUGUCCAGACCCUUCCAUUCCAACUUUUCCAGCCAGGCCUGCAGAUGAUGUCAUGGUACAGAGAAUAUUGCUGCGCAGAGCGCUGGUCCUAGUGUGGGCUGAGGAGCCGCUCCCAGGAUUGCCACCCUGGUGACAAACAUCUUAUUAUAAAUUCAGACCGAUGGCCAGUGUUAUUCAGAGGUGUCUACUGAGCAAAAGCAUUCCCUCCCUUGCAGAGUCAGCUGCGGUGCAAAUUUUCCAUCUGCAUAAUCCAGUUUUAGCCUGGAAGGAAAAGGACUGGAGAGAAGGAAAUCAAGUCUCUUUGUGUCUGUCCUCAUCCUUGUUCUGAAACCUGACUGCCAGCUUGUCACAGAGAUGUUUCCUACAGUAAAGUACUUCAUGCUGGGUUCUUCCAAGUCAUCCUGGUCACACAACAGCUGACAGCUGUGGGCGUGCCCCAGGUGGUUUUUCCUGCUGCUGCAACUCAGCUGAGGAAGACACAUUCUCCUGCUUGUGCCCAAGGACACACUGCCAAGGGAAGGAACCUUUGCUGAAGCCUUGUGGCUGGUGCACCUGCUGCAGUCCCUGGGGCCAGAGCAGAGCCAUCCCCUGCACAUUCCUGCCCACUGGCUCAGCUGGGAGAGGCUCGGGCCAACCGUCUGCACGCAGCCACGGGGGCUGUGCAGGGGAGGAUGUCUGCCAAUUUGCCUGUGGGCUCUUCACUAGGCUCCUGGUGCAUGAUGUGAAGUCGCAUAACUCCCUACCCAAAACCAGUGGUUCAGUGCUCAGAGGCAGAAGCAAUUUUACAUAAAGUUCAAUUAAAUAUUUGCUUUAUAAUUGCGCAACAAAUUAUUCAUAAAGGCAUUGGAAUUUAAUCACAAGGCUGACACCGUGGAGUCUGCAAAUGACACAGUACUUGGGGAGAAUAAAGAUGGAGGAGAGCUGCCAGGCAUUGGUGACACAGUGCUCAACUGUGUGGGACAGUAGAAAUGCUCCCAAAAAAAAGACUGGAAGCAGCACUAAUGAGCCUAAGCAAGGCAGUGCCACUUGCCUAGCAGAAGUAGAGUGGUAUAUGAGAACUGGCUCUGGGCAAUAGACUGGGGGCUUUGGCCAGCCAGUGUGUGCCCAGAAGACCUAGGCAGUGUUGGUCUGUGUCCAUCCCAACCAUGUUAUGUUGGCUCUGGCCAAAUGUAGGGCAUGUUCUGUGGUAUGCUAAGGAGAGGCUCAACCUGUGUGAACACAGAAUUGCUGCCUUCAGCUCUUUCCACCAUCUCCAGCAGGAGUCACGGGAUUCCUGUGCCUUUUUGGGUGUGCAGAGGCCUCGCCCUAGUAUGCAGAAAGGCCCCUAGUCAUGGGGAGCAACCAGCCUGUGGAGUCAAUCCUUCUAAACCUGUACUAGGGCAGUGUCUGGGGAAAGGCAGGAGGCAAUCUGGGUGUGUAAUGUGGCAUCACUGUCCCCAAGAGACAGGCAGUGCGAUGCAGUGCUUUGCAGAAGAUAGCUGCUAAGCACAGCAGGAACAAAUGUGAGCACUCACGGACCCUCUGCAGGGAAUCUAACAGAGGGACUUCAUGGCCUUCAUCUUGAGCUGCAGCCUGGGGAGCAAUGCCUUCCCUGCCAGUACUAACACCCAAUGUUCAUAGAACACCCUUAGUUGGAAGUGACCCACAAGGAUCAUCGAGUCCAACUCCUGGGUCCCCUAAGGACCACCCAAAAAAAGUUCAGGCUGAACUUGGAGGGCAGAAGACUGAAUCCUCCACCCUGUGAAGAGCCAGACUGGUGGGACUGAGUUUCUGAAUCUCUGUUUGUUCCUGUGAGAUGGUGUCAGGUGAGGUCUGAGAAUGAGAAAUGGCCUGCUGUGCAGAUGCUGAGCCCAGCUCUCACCACAGCCUGAUUUCGCUUUGCCUAGCAAGGACAUGUCCCUCCCAGAUUCUGUCCCCUGCUGUCAUCCUGUGCAAUGGGCUGCAGCCUGCCCCAUCCCACUAGGGAGAAGCUCUGCAGGGCAUCCAGUGUUAGGUGGGCUGUGACUGACAGGGGAGCUGGGUCCUGGACAGAGAGCUGGACUGGAGAUGGAUUGCCUGCCACCCAGAUGUGGACAUUAGACAGGGAGUUAGAUUAAUGGGAGCUGGCUCUGCCAAAAUAGAGGUGAGUCACAGAGCCUGUCCUGUGCUGAAUCUGCUUCUCCAAUAGGGAAGAAGUAGGAGGAUUUAGCAAGAUUAAUCCCUCAUGGGGUUGUGAGAAUAGCCAGAAUUCAUGUGCUUCUCAGCAACAAAUUUCCAUGUAAGCAGACAGCAUUUUGACUUGUUUUGUGUGACAGAGCAUAGAUCCAUACUGGUAACUUUGGAAUUCCCUGCCACUUGUCACAGGUAGGAUUGACUGUCCUUCCCCACU